GUUUGUAACACCCGAAGUCGGUGAGGUAACCGUAAGGAGCCAGCCGCCUAAGGUGGGAUAGAUGAUUGGGGUGAAGUCGUAACAAGGUAGCCGUAUCGGAAGGUGCGGCUGGAUCACCUCCUUU
rnacentral:rRNA from 3 species